CUUUAACUGACAUUGUUACAUCCACCAUUUUGUUAGAUUUGUGUCCAAGCAAAUACUGACAAGCAUCUUUUAUCUUCUCCCUAAAUACCCUUGUUGGAACAUUAUCUCUUUUAGGGUUUGCAGCACCCAGUGGGGCAGGUUAUGACGCAGUACUGGAGUGAGUGGAACUGGUGCACCUGAAAUCUUGUGUUGGAGUUUUGAGGUUUGCCAGCCAACCUUCGACCACUGUCACUGACAGUAGUGUGUAUGGCAAGACGAAGACUUACUUGGAGUGCAGGGAAGAGAAAAGAUGCCAUUCUCUCCUUCAAUCCUUCUUCUGUCUGACUGCAGCUCUGCACUUGUGAGCAGAGGGAGAGAGAGAGGCAGCGCACAGACGAGUGGAACAACAGACAGAGAACUUCAAAGCCAAUGAGACAGCUGCUGUAGAAUUUUAAUAAACCCCCUUUUUCCUCUGA